rfam:Triticum aestivum genome assembly, contig: Triticum_aestivum_CS42_TGACv1_scaffold_577725_7BL
UAUGUAAUUCCUCCGUCCGAAAAUACUUGUCCUAGAAAUGGAUAAAAUGGAGGAUGUAUCUAUAACUAAAAUAAGUCUAGAUACAUCCAUAUAUGUGACAGGUAUUUUUGGACGGAGGGAGUACAAA